UACGAAGGGGGCUAGCGUUGCUCGGAAUCACUGGGCGUAAAGGGUGCGUAGGCGGGUCUUUAAGUCAGGGGUGAAAUCCUGGAGCUCAACUCCAGAACUGCCUUUGAUACUGAAGAUCUUGAGUUCGGGAGAGGUGAGUGGAACUGCGAGUGUAGAGGUGAAAUUCGUAGAUAUUCGCAAGAACACCAGUGGCGAAGGCAGCUCACUGGCCCGAUACUGACGCUGAGGCACGAAAGCGUGGGGAGCAAACAGG
rnacentral:rRNA from 1 species